CAGACCAUUCCAGCGGAAGCAGCCCUAGCUGUGGCUGCAACCUCUGUCACCCCCAGGAAUUGUGGCUCUUGUCUCUGCUGUCCUAGUCAUCCUGGCUUGUCCUUCCUGUGUAGUAGUCGCUACACCACAGGGCCAGCAUGCUAGAGGGGAUGUUUCCUGUGAGCCUCUGGGUGUAUUGAUUCUACUUUGAAUGGUUCUGAUUAGUGUUGCUUUGUGUGGGAAUAUUCUAAGAAAAGUCAAGAACUUCACGGUUAUAUCUGGCACACAGGAAAGCCAGCAUAGUGACCACUCCAGCUGCCUCUUUCCGAGUAAGGCUCCAGCUCCUGUGUACUGGGAAAGCAGGUGUUUGAGUCAGAAAAAAGGAAAGUUCUAGAAUCCCAUUUCCUCACCCUGCACUCUAUCAGAUCCAGGAUUUGUUUGUAGGUCAUCAGGCUUCCAGUAAAGUGCUUCACCUUCUAUCUGUAGGAGCCAGAAAAGAAUCUAUUCCUGAUAAGUGUGAAAACUUAUUCCACAUGAAAGAUGAGAACAUCUAACAGGUCUCUAUCUGGGGAGUGUUCAAACCCAGAUGCCACCACUUCCCACAGGCUUAUCUAUGGGUUUCAACCUCUCAGUAGCAUCAUAAUAGUGCAUUGUUCAUUCAGAGGGUCCCAUCCCAAUGCAGGCCACCAUCUGAGGGGCUGGGAGGCAGCAAGGAUGGGCCUGCCUUUGUGGCUUGAGCCUAAUUGUAGAUCCAAUCAUGAGUCAUUGAAAUAACCCCCAGUGCUUAUAAGAGUUCAUACUCAGCUCCGCAUAACUACUUCAGUUCAUACAGAUGCAAUCAGUUCUUCCAUCCAAAGGAAUCCUCUUUCUUUUGGCCUUGGAGGAACCAGACGACACCCCCAUAAAUCAUUUUCCCACACUGUGUGAGGUUGUCAUAUUUCAGGGUCAGUUUGCCCCUACCAUAUGUCAGCGUGCUUUGUGAGCUGUGUUUUAGGAGGAUUCUGUUCUGUGUGUAUUUCCUAUACCAGCCUGCACAGUGGCUGUCAAAUGCCUAGUACAGACAUCUUAGUAUUCAAAGCCCACCAAAGAAAGCUGUGUUCAGAUGUGGGCUUAUUUGGUCAGCUUGAAUAAAAGCCAGUGUUGCUCUGAUAUUUCCUGAGAAUUAGCCAGUAGCUAAGGUUUCUUUUUAUGAAGUGAUAGGAAUGCAUAUUUUCGUCUUCCAGGAAGUCUGGUUUUUUACUUUUAUCAUUUGAAAGAAUAACAUUCCUGGGCAGCUGUGCUUCUAAAAGGACGUUCCUUUGCAUUUCUCCUGUUAUUCUCAAAUCUCUUAUUUCCUCCCAUUUCUGUAUCUAAACGGAGUGGGGGCCUAGGGCAGACAGGAGCCAACGAAAGGGUGGUAGCUUGGCGACGUCUGGUUGAAUGGCAGCGGCUCCCGGGUGGAAACUCGCCCGUCCUGCGGGCGGAUCCCGAGGUGCUGGCUCCCCCUGCUGCGGCUCGCGGGCGUUGCUCUGCGCAGGGCGCGGGUGGUCACGCGGAGGGGAGAGGAGGGCGGGGACGCUGUGACUCAGAGCUCGGAAUGUGGGCCCGGCGGGCAGAGGCGGCAGGAAGCUAGUGUGGCUUUGCUGUUUCCUGCUGCUGGCCUUGGGCCAGCACCUAGUAGGUCCUUGGUCCUCUUGACUUUUCUGCUCUAGUGAGAGCCUCACGUGUGCAUUGGAGGCGUCAGGGCAGGUGGUGCCAAUGAAGCCCCUCUCUCCAAGCUUCUAGAAGUCAAGUCUGUUCUACUUGGAAUGGGUAACAGCGUCUCUACUUGCAGACUUCAACUUCCGAAAUUUUAGAUGGAAAGAACUGUUUGUGGGAUGCAGCCUGUGAAUGUGUGGGGCGUGUGGGCACGAGUGUGCCCUGGGCAGGGGACGAAUGGCCGCGUGGGAAACAGGGAGCACGUUGCUCCAACCAUCUUAUACCCGGGACCAGGUGCACAGUAUGUGGACUGAGGUGUAAACGCUAAGGCCCUCACGAUGAUGAGCGUUUCAAGACCGUGGCAGCAGACCAUUAAGUCACCUUCCAGGCCGCGUGUGACUGCGUGGGCCACAUACCGGUGACGCGGCCUUCUCCACAGUGCAUUCUCAGUUGGUUUCUGCAGCAGACAGGCUCUUAAUCUACUGCCUUGGCUAGAUAGGGUGCAGCUCCUGGGCUCACUUGAUCCUCCUGCCUCGGCCUUCUGAGUAGCUGGGAUUACAGGGAUGGUUCAUCUGACAGACGGCUCUGUCCUCUUCUCUUCCUGUCCCUGUGCUGCCCAUUAGCAUGCAGUGGGAGUCACAACCCCGAGGAUCUGGACAACCCAGGGAACAGGAGCCAGCAAGUCUAGACCUCAGAUUCCUGUGGGAGUCACACCGAGGACAAGUGAGCGUGCUGACCCCAUGCGGGGGUGCGAGGUGGGGGGCACUCAGCCAUAUUAUUCUUCACUUAAUGGAAUUUUCUUGCUCCUUUAAGUAGAAAAACACAAGUAGCUCAUGUGGCACCCAUUGAAGUAGCUGAUAAAA